UUGCUUUAGGGGCGCAUGCACUGAAGUUGGAACGUUACAGGGAGGACCAGCAAGGCCCGUGUGCAAGGAUGACGUACGAACUCAUGAAGUGUCCAUGUUCUCU
ensembl:snRNA Gm25881 predicted gene, 25881